GAUGAACGCUAGCUACAGGCUUAACACAUGCAAGUCGCGGGGCAGCAUGGGGGUUGCUUGCAAUCCCCGAUGGCGACCGGCGCACGGGUGAGUAACGCGUAUCCAACCUGCCCUUCACCACGGGAUAACCCGGCGAAAGUCGGACUAAUACCGUAUGUUGUCCAUUGACGGCCUCCGAUUUGGACGAAAGGUUUGGCGGUGAAGGAUGGGGAUGCGUCCGAUUAGCUGGACGGCGGGGUGACGGCCCACCGUGUCGACGAUCGGUAGGGGUUCUGAGAGGAAGGUCCCCCACACGGGAACUGAGACACGGUCCAGACUCCUACGGGAGGCAGCAGUGAGGAAUAUUGAUCAAUGGGCGUAAGCCUGAACCAGCCAAGUAGCGUGCAGGAUGACGGCCCUAUGGGUUGUAAACUGCUUUUAUGCGGGGAUAAAGUGGCCCACGUGUGGGUUUUUGCAGGUACCGCAUGAAUAAGGACCGGCUAAUUCCGUG
rnacentral:rRNA from 1 species